GUGUGUCAAAAAUUUUAUUUUAUUUUUUCAUUUCACACAGAAUGAUGUUAAAAUAAAUCCUCAGUAAUAUAUAUAUUUAUAUACCUAUUUACUUGUGUUGAUAUUUACAAAAGAUUGUGGAGCUCUAUGAGGUCUAUGUACACCCAUGAACAGGUAGGCAGGCGAUGUUCGUUGAGGCAUGUAUGUACACACGUAUGUAUAACCUAUGUACAAAUAUCAGACCCUACUGACACAGGAACUCUCAGCUGCAGAAGUCCUGGGUGGGCAGUUUUGGUGGGGACAAAAACUUCCAGAAAAUGUCAGCAGGAAUGAUAAUACCUACACACCCUGUGCAAUGCACUUACAGCUGGUGUCUCCAUUUUCACGAAGCGAACAAAUAGUUAAACGCCUCCCGACUCCCAUGAGUCUUCCCCGCCAGCCCUGCUCCGCCUUCAGCUCCCAUUGGCCCCCAGCCUCUUAUCACCAUGGAGACCCCGGUUCCCUUUCGGCAUCAUCCUUACGAAGCUUUACCGUCAGCCUUGGAGUUCCUUCUCCUAUUGAUCCCAGGGAGGAUUAUUUAUGUGCCUCCGUUUUUCUGAGUUUUCAGCAAUCGUUAGAGACAGGACACCGGAGGGCAGCUGCGGAGUCAUGCACGGGCCCGAGGAAGCCAGUGCAAACCCUAAUUAGAGUCUGUGCUGCAUGAGCCUAAGUGAGCGGCCAUUUCCACAUGUUAUAUGUGUGUGUGUGUGCGUGUGCGUGUGUGUGUGUGUGUGUGUGUAUGUGUGUGUGCGCGCGCGCGCGCAAUAUAUAAACUCUCCCGAGACAGCCUGUAUCAGCACAUAAGCACACAGGUCUAGAGGAGGAAAUAGCAUUGGGCACUCCGGAGCGUUGCAGCUGCGAGCCUGCUGAAAGUGGAGAAUCCGCCUUGAUUCUGGCACAUUAAUUCCCACCGUUCCGAGAUUACCCUUAGUGGAGAGAGGGGUGCAGGGGUGCAGAAACCCAGGCUGAGGCCAGUUUGGCCGGGGCACCGUUCGCUCAGCAGGCUGGGGCUCGAUCAUGGGACUCUCCCGCUUCCUGGGGCCCUUCAAAUGAAGGAAUCAUCCGAGCACGACAACAAAAGGAAACUGGGUCGCGGAUCCCACGUGAAGGCGGAACUGGGGCAAGCACAGAGCAUGUUCAGGGCCUCCGGGGCUGACAUGCCGCGCGCCAGCGGUAGCCGGGCUGCGCCUGCUCUCUCCCCCAUGUCCUGCCCGCAGCCCUUUGCCCCUUUCCAGCCGCACCUGGCGGGGCACGGGCCUUGCCCUGCACUUCAGGAGCAGAGCAAGGCAGUUGCGUCAGCAGCAGGCGUGGAAAGUGCUUGGUAGCCACCCGAGCCCCGAAGAUUCCCUUCCUCCCAGCCCUGCCUCUCGCUUUCUCUAGCGGCCCUUGUACAAACAAGGCAGCCAGUGUCUCGGGAGUCCUUUUUAGGGAGAAGCAGGGCUUCACGCCUGCCUCUCACAAGGGCUGGGGAGAGACACAGGACUGAGUCCUCUGGGUAGCUACCGCAGUCCUAGCGCACAGCCGUGUCUACGCUGCCCUCAAUUACCUCGAUGAUGCAGCAGCUGUCCACAUUAUUAUGUAAUCACACCUGCCCUGUGCAUCCAUCCCUGGAAUGAUGCAGGGAGUUCUCAGCUGUAAACUCAUCUGGAACAUUUCUGACUAUUUUAGGAGUGCAGAGGAGCAGAAAGAGUUCUAUCUGUUUCCACGCCAAGGUUCACGCAGCGUUAAGAGGAGGCCAUCCGGGCAUGCUGCCGCCACGGCCCGGUUUGCCCGCCGGUCACGCUACGCCUGGGAUGGGCUUCCACUGCCUGAUCUUGGCCAGCUCGGCUAGACUGGAGGCUGCCACGAACGGGGGUUGGCAGCAGGCAGCCCUGCAGUGCCCCGCCUGCCCCAGACAGCAGUGAGGACUGCCCCCUGCCCCCAUCCAGGCAGGCUGCACACAGCCGAGUGCGGGAUGCUAGGCUGGAGCCCUCUCCCACGGCUCUAACACGAUGCUGGGGACGGUGGAGGCGCAGAGUGUGGCCAGCCCAGAGCUAGCUGUUUCUCCAGAGAGGCCAGUGACUCACAGCUGCUCCGCAGCCCGUACCCACAAACUACGUUCAGUCAGGACAACAACGGGGUGGCUUUGUUAGUGCCACUGGUUAUCACACAUCUUGCCUUCCGUGGGACAGAGAUGUUCUUUAGUUCUUCAUCAAAAGCUUCACUCAUACAUCUCUUGAAAUUCAAGCCUAGGACACCACCCAUGACAAAGAAAGCCUAACAGAUCAGUCCUGGGCCGCCGUGUCUUCGAGCUUUCCACCCCGCCAGAUCCAAAAGUUUGGAAUAACUUUUUUGGCUUCAGUGAUGAGGUUACAGCCAACCAGGGCAGAUGGAACAAAGGAAAAAGCACCUGGCCCUUAGAUCAGACUUCCCUUUUAUCCCCAAGUCAGGCAGCCACCUGGGAGGGAUGGGAAAGAGGUGAUCCUGGAGCCCAAUCGUUUGUUAGGAAAGAACUGCCUUCUAGAGAGGUUCCUACGUGGAAGCAAAAGAGCUGAACCGGAGAGGUGGUAAGAAUGCAAAGGAAGGUCGUUUAAAAAUUCAAAUAAACGCCGUUUAUUCCUCGGGUUGCCAAAUUUAUUCCACAUCAGUGAAGCUAAGGGGAUCAGUCACUGUAUAAUUUUUGAAACAACGGUAUACAUAUAUACAUAUACUAUACAUAUAUAUACACAGAUAUAUGUAUAUAUGGAAAACCUCUGAUAACUCAGGACCAAGUAACCAAAACCUCAGUUACCGCAGGCAUUACGUUCUCUUACUCUACUUUCUGUAGGAAGAGGCAAAUGACAGCAAGGGCAUUAUCUGAUGAGCCAGGACGCACCCAGAUGGCCAACUUCUGGGAAUGCCUUGCAGCCAGCAUACGUUCAGCCCGUCUCUUUGGUCUCUUCCGUCUGCACUUCCGCACGAUGAGCACUGAGGUUUACAGUGUUGACCCUGAGCAAUGCAAGGUCUUCUGUCGUCUCCAAACUCUCUACUUGCUAAGGCAGGAAAGUUUAUACUGACCUACUUAGGAAAUGGGUUUGUUUUUGUUUUUGUUUUUUCUCAACAGCAAAGGUUGAACCCACACGUGGCGUCCCAUUCCCACUCAAACAACCAUGGUUGUAAAGCAGUCGGGACACUCCCUUCCCUGAGGAUUUUCCCAUCAGUUAACUGAGGUUUCGCUGUACACACGUGUAUAGAGCAAGGUAGACUGAGAAGGGUGCAAUAGGACCCUGGGGUUGCCAGCCUUCCUGAUUGUCCAGUCUGAAUAUUUAACCUCACAGAUUCUUUCUUCAGGAGAGGGGGUUUCUCCUGAAGCUCCCAGUUAUGUGUGCAAAUACAUGUGCAACUGCGCACAGUAGUGGGUGGUGGGGCCUUUGCUUCCCCAACGUCAUGCCCUAACCACCCACUUUCUAUCCCUGUAGACGUCUACCCUCAAUAACUUGCUUCCCUCCACAGCUCUCAAGGAGUCCCUCUGGUUAAGCGAGUCAGCUUAUUUUUGAAGGACAGCCAGAGGGCAACUCCCCAGAUGUGCCCAGGCUACCUAUCCCAGGUAGGAUGCUCCAGGCCACAUUCCCCCAACGUCUGUCUCCCCAGGGAGGGGGGCGGGGGGGGAGGGGAGACAAAUGGAUUAAGUAAUGGCUUUUAGUGCAUGGAAAUGAUCUUCUGUAAUGGCUCAGGAUGCUUUAUUCUUAUCUGUUGGUAAGUGCUUUCCCGCGGGGUCCCAUUAUACCCUGCCAGACUGACUGACAGGCAGAUGGGCUGGCGUGAGGUCGCCCGCACUGAAGGCUGCAGCGCCUCAUGGGUGGUGAGAAUGCCCUGUGAGAGCUGGCAGAGAGGGGCGGCUGGGAGGGACAGGGGGACCGAGGGGCCCGCAGGGACAGAGAGAUGUGCCUGUGGGAAAGAGCGCGACCAAGAAGGCCUUCUCGCGGCCCUUCCUUGCCGCCCGCCCGCGCUGCACCUCAGCCUAUGUGUACACUCCAAAGGAGGGUCAGAGCCCCCGGGGGCAGGAAUUGCGUGGACUUGCAGGAAGAAGAGGGAACCACAGACAGUGAUCUAGUGCCCAGAAGCCAAGGGUAUUAUCUGAUAAUCCAGGUACUAUCCCUUUUCGGUCCUGAGAACAUGGUUUUGAAAUAGCUAUUGCUAAAGAAAACAGUCACGAUUUAUUGUAUUGCACUUUUCCUUGUUAAAAAUGUUCAAACGCAAACUAUGAGAGAUGGAGCUGAGCUUUGGUGGGAAGGGAAGCAGAAAGAAAGGAAAAGGGAACCAGAUCAUUUUAGGGAAGAGACCCAGCCCAGCUUGCAGAGGCUCCGCCUCCACCGAAACCUGCUUGCUGCUUUGGUGGGGAAACACACCAACACUUCAGGGCUGACUCUGAAGACAAGGAUGACGGUCACGGGAGCCACAGGGAUACCUCCCGGCAUCCAGCACCCUGCUAGCUGACUCAGGUGGCUAACAAUGUUAGAGGUUAAGGUCUUGAGUUCAAACCUGGCAAUGGACACUUUGCAGAGGGUGGGGGAUCUCCACUGUGCCAAGGAGCACCCCAGGUGUUACAGCCCGUGUGGACCAGCCUCUCAGACCAGGCAGCCAUCACCCAGAUGGAGGCUGUUAUAAUAAUGGGCCCCAGGAGAGCCAGAGGUAGAGCAGAGCUCACCAUCCCCACUCCUGGGUAAACAAAGUCCUGUGCUCUUCCUGCCUGCCACGGGGGCUCUGGUGCCACCCUCACGUGCAGUUUGCAAACUGUCCUAAGGUCUCCUUUGGGGAAAGUCAGCCUCCAAAUCUUUCCUCCAUUACUGCGGGCUGCACUAAACCCCCAGCCUGAGACUCUUCAGGGGGCUGCCCUCCCCCAACAUGGCUCAGUGCUGAUACUCUAUGGCUGACUCUGAGGAAGGAAGUUGGCCAAGUCCACCGCGAUGAUGGAGAGAUCCAGGGACAGCAGAUAGGACAAGCCGGUCCUGAAGCCCUCCCCACACGAGCACACAGGCCCACAAAACUCUCACACAAAGCCAAUGGGGCCUGGAGGCACACUCCUUUCAAGAGGCUAACCUCCUGGGACACACUAGUCCAUCCUCAGAAGCCCAGCUGACAGGGACAGAGGGAAGCCGAGAGGAAGGAAGACAGCGUGUCAGACACCACAGAAGCUUCAGGAAGCACAGGGCCCUAAUUAUGUCCUCAGUUAGGUUUCAGCUCUUGCAAAGUUUACACAGCAAGAGGACCCUCUCUUCCUGGUCAUCUCUCCGCCUUUUCUGGACUUCUUUCUCUUUAGCCUCCUGAAAACUCCAACUUACUUGAAAGUUUGAGCUCAUGGAGACACCUGCUGAAGCCGAAAGGGAAACUGCUACCUUCACUUGGAAGCUCACGGAAGGCCCGGCAUCUUGCACUGAACGUGCACAGUCGAGCCCACGCGUCCAUUCCCUGCUGCUGCCCAUUCCUCCGUGAAGACGGGGUGCUCUGGCCAUCGUGGGACCCGCCUGGGAGGGCCACAGGAGCGAAACCAAGAUGCCCGAGCUGAUGCCUGACUUCAGUUCCCAACUUCCAUCCACGGUGAUGCCUUGGCCAGAAAAGCACUCAGCUCUCAGCCAGUCCUACCAGUGGGAGGAAGCAGCUCUGUGCGCCACCCAAAACAGUGAGGAACCUUACAAAGCAUUUAAAUCUGGCCUUAGAAUAUAGGAUAAAAAUCAGGCUGUCUGGAAAAUGAUCGCUUGCUCCUGUGGCAUGAGGUCUGUGUCCUUAAUCAUGUUUUAGGUAAGCUGAGUUAGUGUGCAUUUCCACAAGGCCUAGCAAUUAGAUGGGAGGCAGGGAGUCCAGGUAGAGGCCUGGCAAAGGAGAGGAGCAUGCCUGGCAUCAAGCAACCAUAGAGGGGACUCAAGGGUUGACCCCACUGGGCUUAGGCCCAAGAGCAAGUGAAAUGCCACAAGCAAGGAAAGGGUGGCUCGUUUUCAGAGCCAAGUCUAUGCGUGGUCUUGACUUUCAGAUCCACCCUGAUAAAGUCAUUGAGGAUGGAAGGGCAUUAGGGUCUGUGGACUGACAGGAUGCUGGGGCAUCUUCACUCUGGUUUUGGGCUCAGAACCCUGCACUUUCUUGGGCCAUCCUAGCUUUCAAGAGAAUGGAGCUGAAUCUAGAGAUCCCAGGGGUUGGGAACAGGGGAGCCUGGGCCAGAGGAUUGUCUAUGUGGACUCGCUCUGAAGGAUAGGGCAUGGCAAGGAGUGAAAUAGGCUGCUGGUUGUCCUAGGUCUUCCCACACCCACAUUUCUGGUGGGAGGAAGGUAAAUAAGUAGAAGCCCUAUGAGAUUCCCAGUCUUAAUCGGAGAUCUGCCUAACAAUAAACCUCAGAGUUUACUUCUCUGAAAUCUGGAGGUGAAAGAAAGAGGGUAGAGAAAGAGGCUUCUUGAAGGCUACUGAAGGGUGUGGCUGCAGGCUUGGGAAAGGUGAUGAAAUCUCAUCUUUUGUUUGUGCCUACUACUAAUUUAUAGCUUUGGGGGCAGAGAGAUGGAUCUGAGUACACGUGCACAUGUACAUAAUCCAUGUGAAUUGUGUGCGUAUGUGCUUGGGUGUGUGUGCUGGAUUUUGUGUGCCUCACAUGAGUAAAUAAAUGCAUUAGGUGUAUAAACUGAGUUUGUAUGUGUUUUAUGGGCAGAAACAAUAUAAAGUAUCCUUGGUGUACUGUGUACUCAUAUCCAUUGUGUUCAUGUGGUUUUUAUGCAUUUGCCUCUGAGCUGUCAUUGUGUCUUUGUGUGUGGUGUAUGUAGGUCUUCUGUGUUAUGUUCUGUAUUGGUGAGUAUGUUCCAGGUUUGUACCGAAUGUGCAUAUUCUGGAUACCAGUGUAGUUCUCUGUCAUCUGUGUAUGCCCUUUUCAUUAGCUGGCCUCUGUGCAUUUCACAUAGCAUGUUUUAUAUUUGUGUGUGGCAACAGUAUAUCUGUUUUGCCGUGGGUGUGCAUACAUGUGUGCCUACACCUGUGGGUAUUUUAUAAUCCCCAGGUCAAGGACACAGGGAUAGAUCUCCCCACUUACCAAGGCCUUGGGUAUGGGCUGUUUUACCAUCUGUUUCCCAAGGUCUGUGCCCUUCCUACCCCACGUCUUGGAAAUUCAGCACCACCUCCCAUGAAGGAGAGGAAGAGAAGCACAGGGGCAUCGCACUGGGCAUGGGGUGUCCUGCAGAUCCCUGGGGAAGUGGGUGACCAGGAACUAAUGAGCACCCUGGGCCUAGCACCCUGAGCUGGUGCCCCACCCCCCAAGGUAACUGUAGGUGCUAAAUAGCCAACGGUGAGGCGAGGCCUAGAGCCACCACUUGGUGGCCUGGACCACACAACUCACUGUGUUUGGGAAAUGUAAGCUGUUAUGUGGGAAGGCAAAGGAGCCAGUCUGUGAAGCGAAAGCCUCCCCAACUCAACCCAUCCCAGGGCCAGCCUGAACUCCACCCGUAGGUGGUGCAGGGCUCAUUCACUCUCAAUCUGUCCCAGGCCAGUGAAUGAUUCUCUGCCCACCCUUUGGUUUGUUUAAAAGCAGCUCUGAUUGCCAGUUCAAUGGGGAGAGAGUUUGAGACUGGCAAUUGAAAGGAUGCCUGUGGAUCAUCUAGCAUCUCCAUCCCUUCGUCCAGGACUUCAGAAGUUUCCACACAGAGGAAGCUUCCUUCAAGUCUAGACCUGAGGCAUUGGGUCCCUGGAAGCCUUCCUCCUCGCAUCCCUGGUUUCAAGCAUCCAUUCUGGCUCUUUAGGAAAAGGGUCAUUAAAGUGACUGAUGCAGAGCCAAAUGACAAGAAAAACCAAAGAGAGCGGGCAAAGACGGGAAGAGAGAUGAUUAACAUGAUGGGCUGUAGAGAGGAGGCCUGGGGUGGGUCUGGCCCAGGGCAGCUGGAGCUGUGAGGGCCACAGGCCCUUGUGCACUCGGUAAGACGAGCUUCAGCCAUGGCAAACUGAAGCUGCAGCACAUGGAGGGCAGAAGGACAAUUCUAACAUCUAAGAAUCCAUGAAGACUGGAGUGUCUGAGGCAACGGCGGCAAACCCAGUCCCAGUGGGGUUAUCAAUGAGAUAAAUUAACCCAUUAGGCCUCUCAGACAACCAAGCCACCAAGCAGUGGAUUUGCUCCUGAACCUGAACUCCAGAGAAUGAAUAUAUACAUAUAUAUAUAUAUAAGUAUGUGUGUGUGUGCAUGUGUGCAUAUCUACAUAUACACACACGUGUAUGUAUGUAUAUAAUACUCAGUAUAUACAUACAUACGCUAGUGCACAUAGUCAAACACAUGCAUAAAUUGCCCUGUGUCAGAAAUAUUGCAUAAGCUUAUACAAGGUUCAAACGCAAUUUCUUCUAUAGCUAGCUAGGCAGAGGGACUCGUGAAAGAUACUCAAUAGGUAUUUUUAUACAUUGGAUCCACAAAUCCGCCUGUCCUCGGGACCAGAGGCCCUGGUCAGCUAUAGAGUCAUGCCCGUGACUAGGUUAAUUCUUAAGGUGCAGUUACGUGAGGGGUUCAGGCGCUGCUCUCCUGCUCACUUUCCAGGCUUUGUGGAGGUCUGUGCCCCCACGUGGAAGAUAGAAUAAGGGACGGGGUGGGCUGGAGAGC
rnacentral:lncRNA from 1 species